rnacentral:rRNA from 1 species
UACAGAGGGUGCAAGCGUUGUUCGGAAUUACUGGGCGUAAAGCGCGCGCAGGCGGAUCCUGUAAGUCUGGAGUGAAAUCUCACCGCUCAACGGUGAGGCUGCUUUGGAUACUGCGGAUCUGGAGACCGGUAGAGGCUGGUGAGAAUUGCCAGGUGUAGCGGUGGAAUGCGUAGAGAUCUGCAAGAAUACCCGUGGCGAAGGCGGCCAGCUGGGCCGG